rnacentral:lncRNA from 1 species
AUAUUUUAUUUUCAUAAUUAUAAAUUAAUAUAGUGACAUAGUUUAGGAGUAGUUAGGAUUGUUCUUUGGGGGACUCCUAUGAUCUUUAUCACUUGUUACUUCUUUAAUUAAAUAUUGUUGAUUGAACAAACACCCAUGUUAACAAAAAUCCUUGUCAUGAAUAUCUUUUUGUCUACUGUGACAUACUGGGAGCCCACGGAGAGGUUCUGAUUUGGAAGUGCACUUUCUGUUUAUGAGACCUGACAGCAAAGAUCCUUAAAUUUAAUGGUGAGAAAUAGCAGCAGAGGGGACUGAGACCAAGAGGCAAAAAUCUCAUCUCCACCUCCCAACAGGGGUAUCCAAAGAGAUAGGAGGGUUAGCAGCUUCACAGCCACUGAAGAAGCCGCCAAGGUCAUACCUUAAGAGGCUAGACUGUCAGCCAACCCCAGACAGAGAGUUUGGGGAGCCAUACACAGGAGGAAAGUGUUUGUUGUUGUUUGUUUGUUGCAGUACUGGGGAUUGAACCCAGGGCCUUUCAUACUGCACUACAUCCCCAGUCCUUUUUUAUUUUUGAGACAGAGUUUUGUGUAGUUGCCCAAGCUGGCCUUGAAUUUGUGAUCCUCAGGCCCCUGCGGGCCCAGUAGCUGGAAUUGUAGGUGUGAGCUUCUGCGCCUGCGCAGGGGGAAGUGCUUAGCUGCUCACCUUAAGGUCUGAAGACCAUUCCUCCUCGCCACCCUCACCUCACAGUCCCUUUUGCACACUGCCUCUUGGAGUUUCCCAGUUUGGUGACUCUCCUCAGGCUCCCAGGUUGACACUGCUCUGCCCUGCUAAAUCCUGCACAAAGAAGCACAAAGAGCCACAUUCCUGGAAACCCCUUUGGAGAACUGAGCUUACCACCUGGUUACCACCAAGGAGAGAGAAGGUCAGGAAGAGUUAAAU